GUGACCUGUACACGGAGAGAGACCAGCACCAGUGGACAGACUGGAGUUGGUGUCAACACCAGAGUGCACUCAUGGAGACGUGUGUGGAUGGGAGACAACAGAGGAGCUCCACUGCUGCCUCACUGCGUGCGCUGAAAGACGGUUUCCAUUAGUACGCCCAGCAGGCCUUCUCUCCUCUCUGACAAGCUGACUGAGACCAAAGAAACAGUAGACCUUCCGGCCGUUUGCCCAGGACCACGCCACCUCCCGAGGCUUUUAGUGAGCGGCCGCGGCCUUCCAGCAAACAACCACAAGGCUGGGCGUGAAAGUGUGAACAUCCACAGUGCCAGACUCACAGGUGGAAGCACAUGGGACAGACACUAGUGAAGGAUCCGGCCGCAGAGAGGCAGGUGGAGGCAGCCUGCUGGACGUGCCUGCUGUGGGUGUUUCUCUGGCAGUGUCUUAGCUGGUUGUUGUGAGGAGUGAGAACGAAGCAAUCAGCAAGUAUACUGCCGCAGAAACUCUUCGCACUAAAGAGGCCCUGGGAUCACAAGCAUCAGAUGAAGAAAAAACAGUGACAGAAGGUGGACCAGAAGGAGACCGAGGACAUAAAUGCACUUUAGUGUUGUAGCAAACACGGGAAACCUACAUUGUUUUUACGAGUCCUGGCACAGUAGAUAUAAACGCUGAUCAGGUUAAUAAGGGAAAAUCAAGUGGAGAUGCUUUGACAGAGGCUUUUUGUUUACAGAUUUAACGACAUGUACAGUUGGCUCGAACUUGUGCAAGGUGAUACUUUUAUAAUCCUCUGCUGCCAUCUUGUGGCUAAAAUCAAAUCUGCAGGCAUGCUGUUGUGCAUCUAAUGCUGCAGCAAUUAGUGUAACUAUUAUGGUAAUUUCAAAACAGACUCAUUCCCUCAUUCGGAAAUAUGGUUUGCCAAGAAUAGCCUUUUCAGUGUGACUUAGGAUAAUUUAUUUAUCAGUUACAUAAAAAUGUGCAUAAUGAAAACUGUAAUUUCUGUUAAUGCAAACUUAUUUUUUUGUGUUAUGAGUUCUAGGAAGUUUUCCAUUUGCUAAUGUGAUAAAACUGGCCAUGUGUUCUUCCACUUUUAGGUCAAUAAUUUAUCUCCCGCUGUGUUUCUGCAUUCAUAAUCUAUUCAUGUCAAACAUUUUACUUGCGAACGGAGACGUAAAUAAAAGUC